CAGCAGCCACGGUAACACGUAGGGUGCAAGCGUUAAUCGGAAUUACUGGGCGUAAAGCGUGCGCAGGCGGUUAUAUAAGACAGAUGUGAAAUCCCCGGGCUCAACCUGGGAACUGCAUUUGUGACUGUAUAGCUAGAGUACGGCAGAGGGGGAUGGAAUUCCGCGUGUAGCAGUGAAAUGCGUAGAUAUGCGGAGGAACACCGAUGGCGAAGGCAAUCCCCUGGGCCUGUACUGACGCUCAUGCACGAAAGCGUGGGGAGCAAACAGGAUUAGAGACCCCUGUAGUCCCUGUCUCUUAUAC
rnacentral:rRNA from 1 species